rnacentral:other from 1 species
AACCCUGCCAUGUUCGUGAUUCGAAACAAAGUCCUUGAACCGUAAUUAAACGAAUCCGGAGCCUUGACUUCGCUGAGCGGCCGACAGGCCUUGAUUGGAAGUCGAAAGCCGCCGAUUGGGCUCCACCUGUUCCAGGAAGUUCAAAGGAACUGUUACACACGGCAUUACGGUGGGGUU